rnacentral:lncRNA from 1 species
AAAAAUGUAUUCUUAAAGUGUUAUCAGAUAGAACACUAAUUUUCUCUGUCAAAAAAAAUACAGGACUACGGACAACGUAAACACAGAAAGAGCAAUAUAAUUACAACUACAUCAGAUACCAUUCCUCUGCUGUGGCAGCUAAACUGUGUUCUCUUUCUGUUAAAGGUGCUUAGGCUUAGAAAGAUUGCAGUUCCUACCUACUUAGAGAGCUUCUGCAAAUUGCAAUUGACAUUAUUGUUGGGGAUGCAAGUUAAAACCUCAGAGAUUUUUAGGGCUGUACUUCAGAAUCCCACGUUUGGAAGGAAAUAGUCUUCAGGAAAAAGGGCUUAUGCACUGAAACAAUGUAUCUUUGAUAAACAUUGUAACACAGUGGAAUGCCCAGCAGUGCCAGCUGAUCAGCAAGGUCCUGGGCUGCAGCACGUGCAACUGCAGCACGUGCAACUGCAGCACGUGCAACUGCAGCACGUGCAACUGCAGCACGUGCAACUGCAGCACGUGCAACUGCAGCACGUGCAACUGCAGCACGUGCAACUGCAGCACGUGCAACUGCAGCACGUGCAACUGCAGCACGUGCAACUGCAGCACGUGCAACUGCAGCACGUGCAACUGCAGCACCACGUGCAACUGCCAUGGACACAGAAACAAAGGAAAGAAGCUGUUCACCUUCAGAAGGCCUCAAGUACACAGCGACCUCCAACAAGAUACCCUUGCCCCCACUGCCAACCCAUAAAUGAGGUCUGGGAAGGGGUGGAGCCAGGAUCCACCCCUUCUGGACACUCAGGUACAUUACAUGCACCUGAGCUCCCCUGGGUUGGCCCUGCCUUCCCACCAGGUGCUCAAUCACUAAUUCAGGUCACAACUUGCAUUUCCACUACAUCAAUAUAUCUUUGAAAAAAAAAUCAUAAAUUUAAAAGCUUUUAGACUGGGUAUGUAAAUAAAGAACAAACAGAUGAAUUAGUAGAGCUGUACAAAAGUUACCCGAUGCAGAAACAAUUGCCCAAGUAAACAAACCACUGAAAUCAAAGAGAUUAUUUCAAGAAGAUAGCAGUGUUCAUAUUGACAAGGACCUAGUGAUUCCUAGGGCUGAUAAGUGCCAUUUGGCCAAGGUUAGCAUGCCACCAUCACAGACAGUUUAAUGAGACCCACAUGCAGCAGAACUGAACUGAAUUAAUUAAAAAAACAUCUUAUUUAAGUGCAGCACACCUGUAUUUUUCUUCCACAUACAACACCAGGACAGGAAUGUUACCUAUAUUGCUAGUUUAGGCAAUAUUGUGAACAUAAAAAUAUAGAAGAUGUGCAAACAAACAAGUUUUAUUAAAGAAUAAAUCAGUAAAAAAUAAAGUAAUCCUCUUGCUGAUGUUUAGUUUUGUAAUUGAACUCUGAGGCAAACACUGCCAUUUUUGUCCCAACAUGCUGCCUGUUCUGUUGAAGUUAAAAGCUACCCACCUCACUUGGAAUUUACUUACUUCAAAAUCAAUUCUCCC